rnacentral:rRNA from 1 species
UGCAGUCGACGGAAAGGCCCUUCGGGGUACUCGAGUGGCGAACGGGUGAGUAACACGUGGGUGAUCUGCCCUGCACUUUGGGAUAAGCCUGGGAAACUGGGUCUAAUACCGAAUAUGACCGCAUGCUUCAUGGUGUGUGGUGGAAAGCUUUUGCGGUGUGGGAUGGGCCCGCGGCCUAUCAGCUUGUUGGUGGGGUAAUGGCCUACCAAGGCGACGACGGGUAGCCGGCCUGAGAGGGUGACCGGCCACACUGGGACUGAGAUACGGCCCAGACUCCUACGGGAGGCAGCAGUGGGGAAUAUUGCACAAUGGGCGCAAGCCUGAUGCAGCGACGCCGCGUGAGGGAUGACGGCCUUCGGGUUGUAAACCUCUUUCAAUAGGGACGAAGCGCAAGUGACGGUACCUAUAGAAGAAGGACCGGCCAACUACGUGCCAGCAGCCGCGGUAAUACGUAGGGUCCGAGCGUUGUCCGGAAUUACUGGGCGUAAAGAGCUCGUAGGUGGUUUGUCGCGUUGUUCGUGAAAACUCACAGCUUAACUGUGGGCGUGCGGGCGAUACGGGCAGACUAGAGUACUGCAGGGGAGACUGGAAUUCCUGGUGUAGCGGUGGAAUGCGCAGAUAUCAGGAGGAACACCGGUGGCGAAGGCGGGUCUCUGGGCAGUAACUGACGCUGAGGAGCGAAAGCGUGGGGAGCGAACAGGAUUAGAUACCCUGGUAGUCCACGCCGUAAACGGUGGGUACUAGGUGUGGGUUCCUUCCUUGGGAUCCGUGCCGUAGCUAACGCAUUAAGUACCCCGCCUGGGGAGUACGGCCGCAAGGCUAAAACUCAAAGAAAUUGACGGGGGCCCGCACAAGCGGCGGAGCAUGUGGAUUAAUUCGAUGCAA